AGAAAGGAGUGGCAUCAUCCUAUUUGCAUCCUAAAAGGAUUUCUCGGGCUGCUGUGUGGAAGGCAGACUGUAGAAGGACAGAAGUGGAAGCAGCAAGACCAAUUAAGGGAUGAUUACAAGGGAUCGUAGUGGCUGGGACCAGGAGGUGUGAUGCAAGUGGUGGGACAUAGAGAGAAAGCCCUUGAUAAUAAAUGAUUUGGAUUCGUGGCUAAAAUGACUCACCCUGGGACAUGUGCAGUAUGGAGGACAAGAAUAUCUUCAUUUAGUCAGAUCAGUCUUCAUCAUUAAGCCACUGACAUCCUGACGUCCAAGUCAGCCUCAGGUUGUAAGCUCUGCAAGGGCACAGAUGGGAUUGGGUUGCCACUGGAUAUCCAGUACCUGGUACAAUGCUUGGUACAAUUGUCCAACGACUGAACUUAUUAACCCACAAUAAUAUGUAACUGCAGAAGAGACCAGAAUAUUCUUCUUGGUAGUUGGCUUGGAUUUGGAAGUGAGCAAUGUGGAGAGGCAGCCCUGUGCAGGGAACACAUCUGCAGCGUGGUGGUGAAGGCCUGUGGCUACUCAGGG